rnacentral:rRNA from 1 species
CUACGGGGGGCAGCAGUGGGGAAUAUUGGACAAUGGGGGGAACCCUGAUCCAGCCAUGCCGCGUGUGUGAAGAAGGCCCUCGGGUUGUAAAGCACUUUCAGUGAGGAAGAACGCCUGGUGGUUAAUACCCAUCAGGAAAGACAUCACUCACAGAAGAAGCACCGGCUAACUCCGUGCCAGCAGCCGCGGUAAUACGGAGGGUGCGAGCGUUAAUCGGAAUUACUGGGCGUAAAGCGCGCGUAGGUGGCUUGAUAAGCCGGUUGUGAAAGCCCCGGGCUCAACCUGGGAACGGCAUCCGGAACUGUCAAGCUAGAGUGCAGGAGAGGAAGGUAGAAUUCCCGGUGUAGCGGUGAAAUGCGUAGAGAUCGGGAGGAAUACCAGUGGCGAAGGCGGCCUUCUGGACUGACACUGACACUGAGGUGCGAAAGCGUGGGUAGCAAACAGGAUUAGAUACCCGGGUAGUC